AGUGAACGCUGGCGGUAGGCCUAACACAUGCAAGUCGAACGGCAGCACAGUAAGAGCUUGCUCUUACGGGUGGCGAGUGGCGGACGGGUGAGGAAUACAUCGGAAUCUACUUUUUCGUGGGGGAUAACGUAGGGAAACUUCCGCUAAUACCGCAUACGACCUACGGGUGAAAGCAGGGGAUCUUCGGACCUUGCGCGAUUGAAUGAGCCGAUGUCGGAUUAGCUAGUUGGCGGGGUAAAGGCCCACCAAGGCGACGAUCCGUAGCUGGUCUGAGAGGAUGAGCAGCCACACUGGAACUGAGACACGGUCCAGACUCCUACGGGAGGCAGCAGUGGGGAAUAUUGGACAAUGGGCGCAAGCCUGAUCCAGCCAUACCGCGUGGGUGAAGAAGGCCUUCGGGUUGUAAAGCCCUUUUGUUGGGAAAGAAAAGCAGCAGGUUAAUACCCCGCUGUUCUGACGGUACCCAAAGAAUAAGCACCGGCUAACUUCGUG
rnacentral:rRNA from 1 species